rnacentral:rRNA from 1 species
GAUGAACGCUGACAGAAUGCUUAACACAUGCAAGUCGAUUCAAUUUACCUUCGGGUAAUGAGGAUGGCGGACGGGUGAGUAACGCGUAAGGAACUUGCCUCUUGGUCUGGGACAACUGUUGGAAACGACAGCUAAUACCGGAUAUUAUGAGAUUCUCGCAUGGGAAACUUAUGAAAGCUAUAUGCGCCAAGAGAGAGCCUUGCGUUCCAUUAGCUAGUUGGUGGGGUAACGGCCCACCAAGGCGACGAUGGAUAGCCGGCCUGAGAGGGUGAACGGCCACAAGGGGACUGAGACACGGCCCUUACUCCUACGGGAGGCAGCAGUGGGGAAUAUUGGACAAUGGGCCACAAGCCUGAUCCAGCAAUUCUGUGUGCACGAUGAAGGUCUUCGGAUUGUAAAGUGCUUUCAGUUGGGAAGAAGAAAGUGACGGUACCAACAGAAGAAGCGACGGCUAAAUACGUGCCAGCAGCCGCCGUAA